rnacentral:tRNA from 1 species
CAGUGAAUAGUUUAAUAAAAAUGUUAAUUUUGGAGAUUAAUGAUAAAGUAAGGACUUUUUCUCUGA